CCUGGUGGCUGAGAGGUUAAAGCGUCUGCCUGCAAUGCGGGAGACCUGGGUUCGAUCCCUGGGUCAGGA
rnacentral:tRNA from 1 species